rnacentral:rRNA from 1 species
GUCGAGAAUCUUCUGCAAUGGGCGCAAGCCUGACAGAGCGAUGCCGCGUGAGGGAUGAAGGCCUUCGGGUUGUAAACCUCUGUCACCCGGGACGAAGCAAGUGACGGUACCGGGAGAGGAAGCACCGGCUAACUACGUGCCAGCAGCCGCGGUAAUACGUAGGGUGCGAGCGUUAUUCGGAUUUACUGGGCGUAAAGGGUCCGCAGGGGGCUUGCCAAGUCUGAUGUGAAAGCCCACGGCUCAACUGUGGAACGGCAUUGGAUACUGGUGAGCUUCGAGUGCACGAGGGGUGAGCGGAAUUCCUGGUGUAGCGGUGGAAUGCGUAGAUAUCAGGAAGAACACCGAUGGCGAAGGCGGCUCACUGGCGUGCAACUGACCCUCAGGGACGAAAGCGUGGGGAGCAAACAGGAUUAGAAACCCUAGUAGUCC